rnacentral:rRNA from 1 species
GUGCCAGCCGCUGCGGUAAUACGGAGGGUGCAAGCGUUAAUCGGAAUUACUGGGCGUAAAGCGCACGCAGGCGGUCUGUCAAGUCGGAUGUGAAAUCCCCGGGCUCAACCCGGGAACUGCAUUCGAAACUGGCAGGCUUGAGUCUCGUAGAGGGGUAGGAAUUCCAGGUGUAGCGGUGAAAUGCGUAGAGAUCUGGAGGAAUACCGGUGGCGAAGGCGGCCCCCUGGACGAAGACUGACGCUCAGGUGCGAAAGCGUGGGGAGCAAACAGGAUUAGAUACCCUGGUAGUCCACGCCGUAAACGAUGUCUAUUGGAGUUGUGCCCUUGAGGCGU